rnacentral:rRNA from 1 species
AUCGAACCCGGAGAUAGCUGGUUCUCCUCGAAAUAGCUUUAGGGCUAGCCCCGUAACAGUCUUGCGGAGGUAGAGCACUGAAUUUCCUAGGGGGCGUCAAAGCCUACCGAAGAAUAUCAAACUGCGAAUGCCGUACAGAUGAUUUACGGGAGUCAGACUGCACGAGAUAAGUUGGGUGGUCAAAAGGGAAAGAGCCCAGACCCGCAGCUAAGGUCCCAAAGUGCGUGUUAAGUGGAAAAGGAUGUGGGAUUUCGAAGACAACCAGGAUGUUGGCUCAGAAGCAGCCACACAUUAAAAGAGUGCGUAAUAGCUCACUGGUCGAGAGGUCCUGCGCCGAAAAUGUCCGGGGCUGAAACACGACACCGAAGCUCGGGAAUCAGAAAUGAUUGGUAGAGGAGCAUUGAAGACGGAACGAAGCCAUACCGGAAGGAGUGGUGGACUGUCUUGAAGAGAGAAUGCCGGAAUGAGUAGCGAGAGAGAAGUGGGAAUCUUCUCGGCCGAAUAUCCAAGGUUUCCAGGGUAAAGCUGAUCUGCCCUGGGUAAGUCGGGGCCUAAGGCGAGGUCGGAAGACGUAGCCGAUGGACAACAGGUUGAAAUUCCUGUACUGUGAUAUAUCAGAACUGUGGGGACACAGCGGGAAGGCAUGGGCCGGAAAAGGAAAAUCCGGUGCAAGCACCAGAGGAGUAUGGCAGGCAAAUCCGCCAUGCAAUCCAAAAGUGUGAUGCGGAGCGAACAAAAGUAGCGAAGCAUGCUUACCGGCUGUCGAGAAAAGCCGCUAUUGCGUAUAUCACACCCGUACCGUAAACCGACACAGGUGGAUGAGGAGAGAAUCCUAAGGCCGGCGGGAGAAGCAUUGUUAAGGAACUCGGCAAAAUGACCCCGUAACUUCGGGAGAAGGGGUGCUCUUGAAAAAGAGCCGCAGAGAAUUGGCCCAAGCAACUGUUUAGCAAAAACACAGGUCUAUGCAAAACCGAAAGGUGAGGUAUAUGGGCUGACGCCUGCCCGGUGCUGGAAGGUUAAGAGGAGAGGUUAGCGCAAGCGAAGCUUUGAAUUUAAGCCCCAGUAAACGGCGGCCGUAACUAUAACGGUCCUAAGGUAGCGAAAUUCCUUGUCGGGUAAGUUCCGACCCGCACGAAAGGCGUAAUGAUUUGGGCACUGUCUCGACAAUGCACCCGGUGAAAUUGAAAUACCAGUGAAGAUGCUGGUUACCUGCGCCAGGACGGAAAGACCCCAUGGAGCUUUACUCUAGCUUGAUACUGGGAUUCGGUAUUGCAUGUACAGGAUAGGUGGGAGGCUGCGAAGUGAUGACGCCAGUUGUCACGGAGCCGAUGUUGGGAUACCACCCCUGCAGUACUGGGUUUCUAACCUGCGGCCGUAACCCGGCCGGGGGACAAUGUCUGGUGGGGAGUUUGACUGGGGCGGUCGCCUCCGAAAGAGUAUCGGAGGCGCUCAAAGGUUCCCUCAGAAUGGUUGGAAACCAUUCGAAGAGUGCAAAGGCAGAAGGGAGCUUGACUGCGACACCGACGG